CCCCCCCCGCUGCCAGCCUCGUAACCUGUCAAGGCGGUCAGGUCAGACCCCAGCACCGACUGCCGAUCUCGGGCUGGGGCCGUGGGGACACCUGGGGAAGUCUGACACUACUACUAUUCUCUGUCAUGGCUUUCAAAGCUCCUCAAGUCCCAUUUUUCUCAGAUCGCUUUCUUUUCACCCCUCGGGGCUCUUCCUGCUCCCCGGGCCCUUCGGCUCGCGGCAAACUCCUACCCUUGAAGGUCCACCUCAGUUGUUCCCUCCGGACGUCUUUUCCAGCACCUUCCUCCUCGGGCGUCCAGCACAGGCGCCUCCUUUGGGCCGCACAGAAAUGUCUGCACACUGCUGUUGGGGCUCCUAACAACAAAUCGUAUUUACUGGCACCAGUUAUUUGCCGGGCACUGCUGUUUAAUGUACCCGUUUGCUUCUCUUGUCUCUCACCAGAUCUGGGGGCGCGACCCACACCUUCUGGAAUCCGUGAGGCCCCUGCCCGCAGCGUGUCCAGGUGCCAAGCGAAGCCAAGGAGCGUUGGGAGUCAGGCCCCUGGGGACCCCCAGUUCCAGCUGCACCACUGAAGGACUUCUGCCCUCUGGCAAAGAGGGAAAGAGUGCGAGCAGGGGAGGGGCAGAGAGAGACACAGGAUCUGAAGCAGGCUCCAGGCUCCGAGCUGUCAGCACAAAGUGCAACACGAGGCUCGAACCCACGAACCGCGAGAUCGUGACCAAAGCUGAAAUUGGAUGCUUAACUGAUUGAGCCACCUCGGCCCCCCCCCUUUUUUUAUGUUUUCUUAUUAUUUUGAGAGAGAGAGAGAGAGUGCAUGGGGGAGUGGGGAAGGGGAAGAGAGAGGGAGACAGAGAAUCCCAAGCAGGCUCCCUGCUGUCAGCGCAGAGCCCGACACGGGGCUCGAUCCCACGAACCUGUGAGAUCCUGACAUGAGCUGAAACCAAGAACAUGCUCAGGAACUUCCAAGAGUGUUGACGACGCCACCCGGCAAAGCCUCCCACUGACGCAAGCGGUGGGCCUCUGCCCUCAGUGACUCCGAGGGGGACGAAUGGACCCUAAGGAAGGUGGUGGCCCUGGUCUGCCAGAGUGCGGGGGUCUCUGGGGCCUGACUGGGGACGUGCCGGUGGGUGGAUAUCACCGUCAGCCACCACUACUGACGCAAGUGGGGCUGGGAGCCGGCCGCCCGAGGAGGGAUGAGCUGUUACGCGCCCACCGUGUCAGUACAGCUCAGCAGGAUCCGGUGAGCGCCACGGGGCCCCGGCGGAAGUCACACCCAGCCCCGCCAGGUAGGGAACAGACGCUCCAGAGGUGUUCACCUUCCGGGCUCCGCCACGUCCUGUGCAGGUUCUGGAACCUUCCUUUCCUCGUCUGCCGAAGGGGGAGAAGAGCACGUCGCCCUUUGCGCCACAUGCCUUCACCACACGGAUGUCCCCCUCGCGUGGCCUUCAUCAUUCUGUGUAUUUCCUGGUCUCGGUUUUCCUUUCUCUUCAUAAUGUUCUGUGAUUCUGUUAUAUACACACACACA